UGGAGCAAGGAUCUCGGUCCCCAGAGCCCUCAGAGAACGCCACACUGAGGGGAGCCUCAGAGGCCACAAGCGCGGAUUCCCAGCCCGGCCCUGGCCUGGCCCCUCAAAGCCAGCCCUCUCUGCCCCAGCCUCGCUUUCUCCGUCUGGAGAUGAGUGGCCCCAACGUCACUUGGUUGGAAGGACACUUGUUCAGCCAGCAGGUCCCGGGCUCGCCGCAGCCUGGAAGCCAUGUUCACCAGGCCCCCAGCUCUGGUCCCAGGGAUUGGAAGUCCCUGGGCUACAGGGGCCGGCGGGCCUGGCCAGGCUUGGCUUCUCGGUCCUACCGGAGUGCUGGGCACCUCAGGAGAGCCGGCAGACAGAACCUUCAUCAAGCUUUGCUGCAGGGGCUGGGGUGGACACAUGAAACAAACCACAGAGGCUGCAGCCUCGCGGCCUUCGAGGCAAGUGCGAGAUGGGCAAGAGGGGACACAGAAAGAUAGAGCUGGGAGAAGGGCAGGACGUGAGAGCGUGUGUCCUGUGGUCGAGGGCAGCAGCACAGCAGAAGGCUGUGAGAGCUCCGCCGGGAGGCAGGGAGGCAGGUGGAGGCCGGUCUGGCUCUGCCGCCAGGUGCUUCCUGCCUCUGCCCCGCCCAGCCACCUCCUGAUGGUUGGUGUGGAGACAACAGAGCCUGUCCGCUCGGCUGCCCAGACGAGA
rnacentral:lncRNA from 1 species